rnacentral:lncRNA from 1 species
GAAAGGUUACCGAAACUUUAUAUUUUCUUAAACCACCUUGUACCCAGAUAUUAAAUGUUGCCUUCAGAUUAUAUUGGUUGCCUUCGGUUUAGUCAGCAUGCUUGACAGUUGCCCCACGAGUUCUUUGGUACUCGAACUCAUGUGGAGCAAGUAAUGCGGAUCAGGUGGACUACAGUUCCCUGAAUCCUGCGAGUUGCGGCUCGGACUGACCUCGUGUCACUGAGACCUGCGAUAUGUGUCACCUAGGGUGAUGCAAAGAAUUGACGGAUAUAAGGAAUUGACGAAAAUAAAGGGUACACCUAGGUGGUAGUUUUAAACUAUUUUCAAUGCCUUAAGAAAUUGAUGUUGAC